GAUUUUUUGAAGUGUAAGAAAAGACAGCAAGAGAAGUAGAAAUAGCAGAAGUGCAAGUCGAUCGAGGUCAAGAACACGAUCACGUUCUAGAUCACAUACUCCAAGAAGACACUAUAAUAAUAGGCGGAGUCGAUCUGGAACAUACAGCUCGAGAUCAAGAAGCAGGUCCCGCAGUCACAGUGAAAGCCCUCGAAGACAUCAUAAUCAUGGUUCUCCUCACCUUAAGGCCAAGCAUACCAGAGAUGAUUUAAAAAGUUCAAACAGACAUGGUCAUAAAAGGAAAAAAUCUCGUUCUCGAUCUCAGAGCAAGUCUCGGGAUCACUCAGAUGCAGCCAAGAAACACAGGCAUGAAAGGGGACAUCAUAGGGACAGGCGUGAACGAUCUCGCUCCUUUGAGAGGUCCCAUAAAAGCAAGCACCAUGGUGGCAGUCGCUCAGGACAUGGCAGGCACAGGCGCUGACUUUCUCUUCCUUUGAGCCUGCAUCAGUUCUUGGUUUUGCCUAUCUACAGUGUGAUGUAUGGACUCAAUCAAAAACAUUAAACGCAAACUGAUUAGGAUUUGAUUUCUUGAAACCCUCUAGGUCUCUAGAACACUGAGGACAGUUUCUUUUGAAAAGAACUAUGUUAAUUUUUUUGCACAUUAAAAUGCCCUAGCAGUAUCUAAUUAAAAACCAUGGUCAGGUUCAAUUGUACUUUAUUAUAGUUGUGUAUUGUUUAUUGCUAUAAGAACUGGAGCGUGAAUUCUGUAAAAAUGUAUCUUAUUUUUAUACAGAUAAAAUUGCAGACACUGUUCUAUUUAAGUGGUUAUUUGUUUAAAUGAUGGUGAAUACUUUCUUAACACUGGUUUGUCUGCAUGUGUAAAGAUUUUUACAAGGAAAUAAAAUACAAAUCUUGUUUUU
rnacentral:lncRNA from 1 species